rnacentral:lncRNA from 1 species
AGGGAAAGAAAAAAAAGAAGAGAGAGGGAAGAGAGAAGGGAGGGGGGAAGGGGAAUCCGGCCAGGGGGCCGGUCACCGGAGGCUCACCUGCGCCGGCGCCGGCCACCGCACGCGGUGGCCGGAAAAGGUAAAAAAUAUUUUUUUUUUAUUUUUUUUAUGUUUAUACUUUUUGUAUUUUUUAUAUAUAUUAAUAUUUAUGUAUGGAAAAUAGGUUUAGAGAACGAGACUAACAAAAUAAAGAAAAAGAUUACCUUAUAUUUGUAGUUUUUGAUUUUUUGACAACUUUGAACUUCUGAUUUCAGUGUUAAAGUCACGGCUUGUACAUGUGUUUCAUUCUAUCUUGGUUAUUGAUUUCUUUUGAACACUUGAAUGAAUGUUAAAAAUGAAAACAGAAAAGAAAAAGAAAACCCCCCUGUUACAUUGAUUCUCUUUCGGCUUUUAUAGCCGAUUACAUGUGAUUUUCACUGCUCUCUGCUUGUUUUGCUUUUGUUUUGCAUGUUUCUCCAUUCAUUUCCUGUCUUCUUCUGUUUAUUCUUUCCCCCAUCCCUCGCAUGCUGUUGUUUUUGUCUCUAUUACAGGUGUGUCAGGUGUGGGUGGUGUCAGACGCAUGGAGGAGAAGGGCAUGCGCGGGGUGUGGUGGUGGUGCGCAAGGUGGCCCAUGGUUGGCCUAGCGUGCGGCGGCUGGAGGCUUGGG